ACGAAUCAACAACAAGCUGGGAUGUUAUCAAGGAAGUGCGCGAGGAGACCGAGGAGGAUAUCGGAUCACGGUCGGAACUUGUGUUGCACUCAUGAACCUGACGACAUCCAAACAACCAAUCAGAAAAGUCUGCACGUGUCGGGGAGAGGAUGCGUUCCUGAAUCCUCGGACGCCAGCCUUCCGAGUUGCACGUUGGAUGUCACAUCAGGUCUCGGAGCAUUCAUAGCAUUCCUGUUCGUCUUUGUGAUUGUGGCAUGAAAUUGGCUAGUCGUUUAUUGUUAGCUACAUUAGCCUCUUUAGCGAACCAGCCCGAAAACAACGCAACUUUACAUUGUAUUGAACGCACAGCAUGACCAUGCAAUGUAUAGGCCUAAACUGGUGACCGGAAUAAAUGAGCAAUGUAAUCAA